CUGUCUUCUCUUUCAUCUCAUAUUCAUCUAUGUCUUCUCUUUCAUCUAAUUUUCAUCUCCGUCUUUUCUUUCAUCUCAUCUCAGGCUUGGUUUCAUCUCAUCUUUGACAUGGCUAGAACCUAAUUCAUCCUUCUAAUGAGUUUGUUAAUAUUCAAAUCUAUCACAAAUGGGUUGUUGUCAACAAGAACAAGGAACGCUUCGAGAUGGUUAUUGUUGAUAAAUAUAUUUUUACAAGCGUUUUUUAUGUGUAGAUUUUAGAGUUUCAUACUCAGAUUCAAUUUUAGAGUGAUAUGUUUGUCUCAAUGAUAAUUCAAACUGCAGGUUGAAAAUGGUUUCAAGGGCAACUGUUUUCCGGUGAUAAUAGUCAAUGCAUCUAUUUGUAAGGAAUUGAAACCGCUUGAGUCUGAAUUUGAUGAGGAGGAAAAAAUAUUGAUGCCAUUUUGGAGGAGCACGAAUAUCAUUUUGGGAGGCCCAAGUCAAGGGCAUGGCUUUGCACUUUCUAAAUGAGCUAGGCUGGCUGCUUCAAAGGGAAAGGUUGUCGAAUGUGCUCGAGAUUGGGCUGAAGUGCUGGAAGACCCUUGUGGAUGAAAAUGGGCAGACUCCACAUGCAUACGCUGCAAUGAGAAAUAAUCAGUCUUACAACAUAUUGGUUGCCCAAAAACUUUCUGACAAAGAAGUGAAGUUGCAGUUAAAAUCGAUGAGAUAGAGCACCAAUCACUAGGAAAGUCAGAUUUCUUCCAUCAUAUUAUUGCACUCUUAACUUUCAAUUUCACCAUGUUUAUUGGAUUAUAUUAAGUUUCCAUUAAAAAAAUCUGACAUUUUGAUUGGAUAUAAUUGCUUCAUAGGUAACAAGAUUUCCACCCAAACUGGCAUAGGAAUGUGGUAACACUCAUCUUCACUUAAAAAUGUCUGACAUAAACAUAUAUCUGUCAUUAAAAGUAUAUCAUUUGGAAGGUAUCAAAUAUUUAUGGUGCUAUUUAUUUGCAGUCUCAGUUUUGACCUCUUUGAUGAAAUGUUUGAAGAAGAUAACACUCCUAAUAUGAUUAUACUAACUUUUUAGAUUUAUAAAAAAUAUUAUUCUCUUCUCUAACUAUGUAAUUCUGUUUGAAAGGUGGCAAUACUCUUGAGGUCGAAGAAGAAAAAUGCAAAAUUAUAAUUGAGAAAACAGUUUUUGAUCAUAUCCACUGUCAGGACAGACUUCAGUCACAUCUCUUCAGUUUAUCUGUUUUAAAGAGCAAAACAGUUUUGAAUUGUUCAAUUUGUGGGCAUCAUAACCUGAAGUUCAAUAGGUUAGGCACCACACCAGAGAUAAAAAAGAGAAGUAGAUAGAAUAAGUUUAUUGAAAUUGAAAGAUGCAGAAAAUGUUUGUUGAUAUGUGAGGUAAAACAGACACAUGAUGAAGUUAAUUUGGAUCUUUUGAUAUUUCAUCAAUCAAUAGAUGCUUGAUAAAGGCAGGGACCAAAUAUACUUUUGAAAUU